UUAGUAGUGUGCUAAUUCCUAAUAAUAUAAAUAGAAUGGAGACAAUGACACUAUCUGUUUAUUCUUGAUGCUUUUGGUGCGACAGGACAUAUCUUAUUUCGUAGAUGAAAUAGAGUUGUGCAUGUUGUACAACUCUUAACACCUGAAGGAGUUUGAGUUGCGUCCAUUGUACAAUCUUAACACCUGAAUUAGUAUUCAUCUCUAGAAAUUAUUUGAUUAACCUAUAUAAUUAGGCCCCACCAAAUUAACGUUAUAUAUCCUUCUCUUUUUCUCUGGAUUAUUGAAGAAUUUGUUGGCAUUUUUUUAGUUUUCGGUUUCAAGAAUUGUUAUGGUACCUUCAGUCUCAUGAGUUGUGUAAUCUGAAGAUAAAGAUUUUACUUUGCGCUGUUCGCCUAUUGAAUCCUCCUGAUUCAUGAUUUUAUACAUAUUGCAUUAUUUGCUUGUAGAGUUGGCAAGGCUUGGAAAUGAUUGUGUAGAUGCUCUACAAGCCCACGAUGAUACAUCUGGGAGUCUUGAAGCUUUGAAUGCUGCUGAAUUGAAGUUAAAAUAUAUACUUAGUUCACCUUCGGUAGAUGCUGCUUGUAGAAAGAUUGACUUGGCUGAGAAGAAGGAACUAGAUUCUGCAUUAGUGUUAAUGCUUUUGAAAGCUUGGUCAGCUGCAAAGGGCACUGACAUCACAAAAUUUGAGGUUGCAGGAGUCCAGAGGUGUUGCACACUUGGGCAAGAGCUAUAGUUCAUGCAUAUUGUAACAGCAGAGAAGGCACUCUUCUUAGGCUGGCAAGAGACUUGAUGAACCCUAAAAUCAUCAAGAGAGUUGAAGAGAUAGUGAAGAUAAUCAAGGAUAAAUACCAUUAGGUUUCGGUCAUCAGAAUAUUGGGGUUUAACAUUUCUACUGAUUGCAUGAGCCUUAUGAUGGGACAUUAGGGUGGAACUACAGGCAUCAUUACAGCUGAGCCCUUCACCAUUGCUAGAAGUGGAGAAGGGCAAUACUUCAUAGAUGAAAUGCAGAUUGUUGUAACUUUACACAGUGCAAAGCGAUUGUAGCAUGUGAUAUACUCGAUGUAGCUUUCACUUAGUUUUGCCUGUCUUUUUCAUUUACAGAUUGGGAAAGUCUCCACGUCUCAAAUAUUCUAACAGUGUUGUAACUCGUGUGACUAGUUUAGAUAUCAUUGCUUUUUAUCAGAAGUCAUAUAUGUGUGAAAAUAUCCUUGUGAUGAGCUAUUUGAGGGGCUCGAUAGUGUUGUAACUCGUUUGACUAGUAUAGAUAUUAUUGCUUUUGUCAGAA